rnacentral:lncRNA from 1 species
UGUUUGUAAACUCUGCAGCAACUGCACCAGCAUCAUCUAACGAUCUCUUUGCUCAUGGCUUACCACCAUUAACUACCGGUUUUACGAGACGUCAGAGACCUGUAGAGCCUGCGAGAGCGUUCAAAGACGACUUCUUCAAAAUCAAACUCCCCAAAAUCGCUGAGAGACCAGAGUGGUGGUGGAGGACGCUGGCUUGCAUCCCUUACCUGAUAUCCCUCCAGAUAUCAGACGUCGGCUUCUACGUCCAGCCUUUUCUAGAAAAGUACGACGCCAUCGGAGACAUGAUCUACUUCAUCCCCGGAGCUAUUAACAGAUGGCCGAGCUGGUUCUUCAUGCUCUACUGCUACUUGGGCUACAUGUUCGUGGUCAAGAACAAGGACUUGCCUCACUACUUCAGGUUCCACAUGAUGAUGGGUAUGCUUCUCGAGACGGCGCUUCAGAUCAUUUGGUGCACCAGCAACUUCUUCCCGCUGAUUCAUUUCAAAGGACGGCUUGGGAUGUAUUACUGGAUGGUGAUUGGGUUUACCCGGGGCGAUAACCAGAUGGCCGAGGUGGUUCUCCAUGUUGUACUGUUACUUGGGUUGCACGUUCUUGGUGAAGAACAAAGAACUGCCUCAUUUUUUCAGGUUUCACGUGAUUAUGGGUAUACUUCUCGAAACAGCUCUUCAGAUCAUAUGGUGCACCAGCGAUUUCUUCCCGUUGAUUCAUUCCAGAGGAAGGCUUGCGAUGUAUUACGAGACGGCGAUGGGAUUCGCAUACAUCUGUCUGCUUCUUGAAUGCAUACGGUGCGCUCUCGCUGGAGUUUAUCCUCAGAUUCCUUUCGUGGCCGAUGCUGCUUCCAUUCACACUCGAGACACCACUAAGGUGAAAAGAUGAUACUCAUGGUGUUGCAUACUUGAUAUAGGAUUAUUUUUUUUAGGCUUAUUUGUUUUCAUUUUGUUCGCUUGGAUGAUGAUGGUACUUAGUAAAUAAGUUUGAAGAUAUCAGUUUGUAAUCGACCACGAUGGUGUGUGUGUGAGAGGGAGAGACUUGUUAACAAAACCUUGAUGUGAAUUAAAAUUCUUGUUCUGGAAUAUAAGCACAUUCUGACGAUCUUCUAAAUUUUUCCAGAGUCCUUAAUGGCCAUUGCGCUGAAAUGUUAUUUGUUUCGUAUCAGAAUGGCCUUUUCUUCACUCCACCCACCUCUCCAUACAGCCUCCCAAGUCAAUAAUACUCUAUUCCCUGAACCAAACAAUUGCUUUUCUAUAUAAAUAUGUUAGUUCAGUUUCACAAAAAAGAAACAUCAAGAUUACUUAUUAGUGUUUUUUUUUCAAAAUGAAGACUUUCUAUCUUUUAAUAUAUUUAUAGACUAAAUUCGUAGUGUUACCAUUAUUUGAAUUUAAUGUAAACCGGCCUAGUUAAUGUUAAAAUCAUUUACAUUUCACACUCAAUCCGCUUUGGUUUUACGUAAACCAGCCUAUAGAACCGGUCUAAUGUGUAUUUGGGCUUUAAUAGAAAAGCCCAAUAAGACUGCAGACUCACUCAAGUUCGAGAAAGAUCCUUAAAACCGACUUAGAAAAUACAUCAGGUAGAUUCGAUUCAUUCAUAUUUCUUGCACGUAAAGAUACUCUAAUUUUGUGAAUUUUUCUUUUUGAUUUUAUUUUAACAUCGAAACCUAAAAAGAGCCUCCUCCCGAGGUUUCCGCCGGUAAAGAAACUAUGCAGGGUUUGGCGGCGACCACCACCACCAACCUUGGCUCUCUCACUUUUCUCGCUCCCAGGUUUCGUGUCUCCUUCUCCUAUUCUUGAGCUCCUCGUUGUGUUGAUAGAUUGUUUUGAUUUAGGACUCUUUCGUUUAGCUAUGGUUGGUUGGUUAAUCUUAGAAUCGUCGAUUUAAAUAAUUGGUUAUGCGUUUUAGAAUUGGGAUCUGAGUCUCACUUGCAGCUCAACGUUAUGUCUCGUCGCCUUGUUUAUUUAUGUGUUCUCGGAGUCUCCGUUUGGUUUAGAGUCUUUCAGUUAGAUUAAUGAUUGUGAUUUUAUAUAAAACCAGGAAGCAGCAGCAUAGUCCAAUCCUAAACAAGUAUGUGAAUCAAAGAGUGUCUUUCCCCAAGCUCGAUUCAUUCCCAAAACUAAGAUUGUCAGCAGACUCAGUUUCACAGAGAUGUCCCCGUGUGAUGAUUUCUCCUCUUUCAGGUAUUAUUGUAUAACAAUAUAAUCACCUAGAAGACAUUAACUUGUCACCCUUUAUUACAAAAAAAAAGAUCUUUUAUAAAUCAUUAUAUAAGCUUGUGUCCUGUGUUUGCUCUAUGGUUCUGAUACUUUGAGAUUAGUUACUGUUCUAGUGUGGUUUUAACUCAUCCCAAAUGUUGCCUGGACGACAUUUGAAUAACUUGUGUUUGUCCUGUCUCUGUUCCAUGGCUCUGAGAGUUUGAGAUUAAUUACUGUACUAAUGUGAUUUAACAAAUGUUUGUAAACUCUGCAGCAACUGCACCAGCAUCAUCUAACGAUCUCUUUGCUCAUGGCUUACCACCAUUAACUACCGGUUUUACGAGACGUCAGAGACCUGUAGAGCCUGCGAGAGCGUUCAAAGACGACUUCUUCAAAAUCAAACUCCCCAAAAUCGCUGAGAGACCAGAGUGGUGGUGGAGGACGCUGGCUUGCAUCCCUUACCUGAUAUCCCUCCAGAUAUCAGACGUCGGCUUCUACGUCCAGCCUUUUCUAGAAAAGUACGACGCCAUCGGAGACAUGAUCUACUUCAUCCCCGGAGCUAUUAACAGAUGGCCGAGCUGGUUCUUCAUGCUCUACUGCUACUUGGGCU